rnacentral:rRNA from 1 species
UACGAAGGGGGCUAGCGUUGCUCGGAAUCACUGGGCGUAAAGGGCGCGUAGGCGGACUCUUAAGUCGGGGGUGAAAGCCCAGGGCUCAACCCUGGAAUUGCCUUCCGAUACUGAGAGUCUGAGUUCGGAAGAGGUUGGUGGAACUGCGAGUGUAGAGGUGAAAUUCGUAGAUAUCGCAAGAACACCAGUGGCGGAAGGCGGCCAACUGGUCCGAUACUGACGCUGAGGCGCGGAAAGCGUGGG